AUGCAGUCGACGAACUCUGGUAUUGAUUGGUGCUUGCAUCAUGAUUUACAUUUGAGUGAGUGGCGAACUGGUGAGUAACACGUGGGAAACCUGCCCAGAAGCGGGGGAUAACACCUGGAAACAGAUGCUAAUACCGCAUAACAACUUGGACCGCAUGGUCCGAGCUUGAAAGAUGGCUUCGGCUAUCACUUUUGGAUGGUCCCGCGGCGUAUUAGCUAGAUGGUGGGGUAACGGCUCACCAUGGCAAUGAUACGUAGCCGACCUGAGAGGGUAAUCGGCCACAUUGGGACUGAGACACGGCCCAAACUCCUACGGGAGGCAGCAGUAGGGAAUCUUCCACAAUGGACGAAAGUCUGAUGGAGCAACGCCGCGUGAGUGAAGAAGGGUUUCGGCUCGUAAAACUCUGUUGUUAAAGAAGAACAUAUCUGAGAGUAACUGUUCAGGUAUUGACGGUAUUUAACCAGAAAGCCACGGCUAACUACGUGCCAGCAGCCGCGGUAAUACGUAGGUGGCAAGCGUUGUCCGGAUUUAUUGGGCGUAAAGCGAGCGCAGGCGGUUUUUUAAGUCUGAUGUGAAAGCCUUCGGCUCAACCGAAGAAGUGCAUCGGAAACUGGGAAACUUGAGUGCAGAAGAGGACAGUGGAACUCCAUGUGUAGCGGUGAAAUGCGUAGAUAUAUGGAAGAACACCAGUGGCGAAGGCGGCUGUCUGGUCUGUAACUGACGCUGAGGCUCGAAAGUAUGGGUAGCAAACAGGAUUAGAUACCCUGGUAGUCCAUACCGUAAACGAUGAAUGCUAAGUGUUGGAGGGUUUCCGCCCUUCAGUGCUGCAGCUAACGCAUUAAGCAUUCCGCCUGGGGAGUACGGCCGCAAGGCUGAAACUCAAAGGAAUUGACGGGGGCCCGCACAAGCGGUGGAGCAUGUGGUUUAAUUCGAAGCUACGCGAAGAACCUUACCAGGUCUUGACAUACUAUGCAAAUCUAAGAGAUUAGACGUUCCCUUCGGGGACAUGGAUACAGGUGGUGCAUGGUUGUCGUCAGCUCGUGUCGUGAGAUGUUGGGUUAAGUCCCGCAACGAGCGCAACCCUUAUUAUCAGUUGCCAGCAUUAAGUUGGGCACUCUGGUGAGACUGCCGGUGACAAACCGGAGGAAGGUGGGGAUGACGUCAAAUCAUCAUGCCCCUUAUGACCUGGGCUACACACGUGCUACAAUGGAUGGUACAACGAGUUGCGAACUCGCGAGAGUAAGCUAAUCUCUUAAAGCCAUUCUCAGUUCGGAUUGUAGGCUGCAACUCGCCUACAUGAAGUCGGAAUCGCUAGUAAUCGCGGAUCAGCAUGCCGCGGUGAAUACGUUCCCGGGCCUUGUACACACCGCCCGUCACACCAUGAGAAGUUUGUAACACCCAAAGUCGGUGGGGUAAACCUUU
rnacentral:rRNA from 1 species